GAUACCCCUGUAGUCCUGGCCGUAAACGAUGAACACUAGGUGUCGGGGGAAUCGACCCCCUCGGUGUCGUAGCCAACGCGUUAAGUGUUCCGCCUGGGGAGUACGCACGCAAGUGUGAAACUCAAAGGAAUUGACGGGGGCCCGCACAAGCGGUGGAGUAUGUGGUUUAAUUCGAUGCAACGCGAAGAACCUUACCAGGGUUUGACAUCCUGCGAAUCCCUUGGAAACUUGGGAGUGCCUUCGGGAGCGCAGUGACAGGUGGUGCAUGGCUGUCGUCAGCUCGUGUCGUGAGAUGUUGGGUUAAGUCCCGCAACGAGCGCAACCCACGUCUUUAGUUGCCAGCAUUUAGUUGGGCACUCUAGAGAGACUGCCGGUGAUAAACCGGAGGAAGGUGUGGAUGACGUCAAGUCAUCAUGCCCCUUACAUCCUGGGCUACACACGUACUACAAUGCUACGGACAAAGGGCAGCAAACUCGCGAGAGCUAGCAAAUCCCAUAAACCGUGGCUCAGUUCAGAUCGUAGGCUGCAACUCGCCUACGUGAAGGAGGAAUCGCUAGUAAUCGCAGGUCAGCAUACUGCGGUGAAUACGUUCCCGGGCCUUGUACACACCGCCCGUCACACCAUGGAAGUUGGCCACGCCCGAAGUCGUUACUCCAACCCUUGUGGAGGAGGAUGCCGAAGGUGGGGCUGAUGACUGGGGUGAAGUCGUAACAAGGUAGCCGUACCGGAAGGUGC
rnacentral:rRNA from 1 species